GAUGAACGCUGGCGGCGUGCUUAACACAUGCAAGUCGAACGGUGAACACGGAGCUUGCUCUGUUGGAUCAGUGGCGAACGGGUGAGUAACACGUGAGCAACCUGCCCCUGACUCUGGGAUAAGCUCUGGAAACUGCGGCUAAUACUGGAUAUGUGACGUGACCGCAUGGUCUGCGUUUGGAAAGAUUGUUCGGUUGGGGAUGGGCUCGCGGCCUGUCAGCUUUUUGGGGGGGUAAUGGCUUACCAAGGCUUCGGCGGGUAACCGGCCCGGGGGGGUGACCGGCCACAUUGGGGCUGGAGAAACGGCCCAGCCUCUUACGGGAGGCAGCGGUGGGGAAUAUUGAACAAUGGCCGCAAGCCUGAUGCAGAAACGCGGCGGGGGGGAUGCCGGCCUCCGGGUUGUAAACCUCUUUGAGCGGGGAAGAGGCGAAGGUGACGGAACCUGUAGAAAAAGCGCGGGCGAAUUACGG
rnacentral:rRNA from 1 species